GAUGGUUCUUAAGUGAUGCGUCCUGGAAUCGGGCUCCCUCCUCUCUGGUUCCAGAUGCGUCGCCCAAGAACCGCA
rfam:Myotis lucifugus cont2.42909, whole genome shotgun sequence.